UGAAUAUUGAAAAAGAAGAGCAACAGAGAUAAGGAAACUGGAACUGUUAUAAAUGUGCACAAUCAACCUCCACCACCAUUCAGAUGGUUGGUUGGUGUACCAGAUCCCCACAUUGGUCCCGUUCUUCUUUUCCUCAAAUUUUCUCCGCCUGCUAGGUUUUCUUUCUUUAGUUUUUAAUUGGAUUUCAGAGGUGCAGCUGCUAUUUUCUCUGUUCAGUGUCUCCCUUACCCACUUACUGAUUCUGCUUCUUCUGUUUAAAUCUCCCCUCUAAAUCUGCUCCUGCUCGAGGGGAAUUGGAAUUCUUUUGGUAAUUG
rnacentral:misc_RNA from 1 species